rnacentral:rRNA from 1 species
CCUACGGGGUGCUGCAGUGGGGAAUAUUGCGCAAUGGGCGAAAGCCUGACGCAGCGACGCCGCGUGAGGGAUGAAGGUUCUCGGAUCGUAAACCUCUGUCAGACGGGAAGAAAUUAUAUCAUGCUAAUCAGUGGUGUAUUGACGGUACCUUCAAAGGACGCACCGGCUAAAUCCGUGCCAGCAGCCGCGGCAAUACGGAGGGUGCGAGCGUUAAUCGGAAUUACUGGGCGUAAAGCGCACGUAGGCUGUCAGACAAGUGCAGGGUGAAAUGGCAGGGCUCAACCGUGGAACUGCCUUUGAAACUGUCAAACUGGAGUAUGUGAGAGGGCUGCGGAAUUCCUGGUGUAGGAGUGAAAUCCGUAGAUAUCAGGAGGAACAUCAGUGGCGAAGGCGGCCGCCCGGCACAAAACUGACGCUGAGGUGCGAAAGCGUGGGUAGCAAACAGGAUUAGAUACCCCUGUAGUC